CACCUACGGGUGGCAGCAGUGGGGAAUUUUGGACAAUGGGCGCAAGCCUGAUCCAGCCAUGCCGCGUGCGGGAAGAAGGCCUUCGGGUUGUAAACCGCUUUUGUCAGGGAAGAAACGCUCCGGGCUAAUACCUCGGGGUAAUGACGGUACCUGAAGAAUAAGCACCGGCUAACUACGUGCCAGCAGCCGCGGUAAUACGUAGGGUGCAAGCGUUAAUCGGAAUUACUGGGCGUAAAGCGUGCGCAGGCGGUUGUGCAAGACAGAUGUGAAAUCCCCGGGCUUAACCUGGGAACUGCAUUUGUGACUGCACGGCUAGAGUGCGGCAGAGGGGGAUGGAAUUCCGCGUGUAGCAGUGAAAUGCGUAGAUAUGCGGAGGAACACCGAUGGCGAAGGCAAUCCCCUGGGCCUGCACUGACGCUCAUGCACGAAAGCGUGGGGAGCAAACAGGAUUAGAUACCCUGGUAGUC
rnacentral:rRNA from 1 species